rnacentral:rRNA from 1 species
UACGGAGGGAGCUAGCGUUGUUCGGAAUUACUGGGCGUAAAGCGCGCGUAGGCGGCUUUGUAAGUUAGAGGUGAAAGCCCGGGGCUCAACCCCGGAACUGCCUUUAAGACUGCAUCGCUUGAAUCCGGGAGAGGUGAGUGGAAUUCCCGGUGUAGCAGUGAAAUGCGUAGAGAUCGGGAGGAACAUCAGUUGCGAAGGCGGCUCUCUGGACCAGCACUGACACUGAGGCACGAAAGCGUGGGGAGCAAACAGG